AGUGCAAGCUCAAACACACCUCUAAACAGAUAAUUUUCAGGUCCUUGUAUGUAUUUAGUUACAUCAAAAAGUAAAGACUUAACUAUUUAUUAAGCUGAUGUUGGAUUUCUUUUGCAAAGAAUUCCUCCAGCUGCGGUGUUAGGAAUACCUGGUCAGUCCCGGUGAAGGAUACACGCAGUCGGGCUGGAUAAAGCAGGUCAUAUCAUACUCCAGCGAUCGUUGUACGAGGCUCUCCGUUUCAUGACACCUGCGCUGAAGUCCUUCUCCAUGCCCUCUGCUAUCCCGAUGACAUGCAGGUUGUCUCGCCACAAACGAUUUUCAACAGGUGGCCAACAGCCAUCCUGUGACAGAGAGCGAAUGAAUCUGAAUCAACAAUCUCCCUCUCGACCUGUGAGAGCACUGUACAGCAGGAAUUGCGUGCCCCGUACUAAAUGGUUGGGCAGUUCAUUCCGGGGGUAGUCAGAAGCCGGCCAUUCAGGAAAGGGACGGCGUCACGGUACCAGGAAUCAUCGCCCUAGUAAGACUGAUUAAGCACGGAUCUGGGAGCUGCAGCCUUGGGCUAGCGAUUCACCCGGACUUCACCACACCUGCACUUAACCAGCAUCACUAUUUCCAGCACCGCACCUACACUAAGAGCACGCACUGUCCGGAGACGUGUCUGUGUCUAUGUCUGUGUUUUUGUAAUUAUUAUUUCGGGACUGCAACCCCUUGUUUUGGCGCUGGCAAUACCCAUUGUUGGGUAGAGCCAGCUUUAUUAUUUAAACUCAGUCAAGGAGACUAACAAGGCAAUUAAAGAACGAACUUGAACCGUGAACUCUGUGUUUGUCCUUGUCUGGAGCACUUGCAUCACCCUUUCACUACGCACUGCAGCCCACACGUUCACACAUCCUUCCCAUAGAACUGUAUCAUGAAGCUGCAUUUCAUUUAAUUAAAAUGGAAAUGUUCCAGGUAAUGACAGUGUAGACAGAACAAGUACAGUUAUAAUGAGAAAGAACAAGAGGGAUGCAGUACCUGGAGAGAGAUUCCUGUGUGAUGGGGUUAUGAAACAAAUCUCAACAGGGCUGUACUCGCAGGGUGAAAUCAGAGGUAAACAAUGAUGACCUUCAUAUUCUGUGGAGAUUUUCAGAGUCAAUAAAACAGUCUGGGCU